UGGUUCGUAGCUCAAUGGUUAGAGCUCCGGUCUUUUAAACCGGGGGCUGUGAGUUCGAAUCUCACCGGACCAA
rnacentral:tRNA from 1 species